GAGGGUGUAGCUCAGUGGUAGAGUGUGUGCUUAGCAUGCACAAAGUCCUGGGUUCAAUCCCCAGUCCCUCU
rnacentral:tRNA from 1 species